GACGAACCGUGCGAACGUUGUUCGGAUUCACUGGGCUUAAAGGGCGCGUAGGCGGCUUGCCAAGUCAGGGGUGAAAUCUUUCGGCUUAACCGGAAAAUAGCCUCUGAUACUGGCGAACUAGAGGGAGGUAGGGGUGCGUGGAACUUCUGGUGGAGCGGUGAAAUGCGUAGAUAUCAGAAGGAACGCCGGUGGCGAAAGCGACGCACUGGAUCUCUACUGACGCUGAGGCGCGAAAGCCAGGGGAGCGAACGGG
rnacentral:rRNA from 1 species